CUUAACAAUUUAACUUAUUAACAAUUUUAUUCUAAUUUUUGAAGAAACGUAACGAAUAUCUUAAAAUUUUUGAACGGUGCUGUGUAUAGAUCUAGCGGAUUUUUCAGUAUAUAUGCAUAUAGAAUAGAGAAUCAAAGUGAAUAUAUUCGAUGUUGUAAAUAUAUCCGCGCAACUUGGCGGAAAAUUUAACCGCCACGUCAUUCAAAGUUGCAUUCCGAGAAAACUCGCGCGAGCGCGGCAAAGAGGGAGUGCGACGAACACUGUAAAAACGUCGCGUUGCGGCUCGUGAAAAAGGGUGGUCAAGGGGGAUGUGGGGAAAGAAAUUACAUAAGAUGCGCGUUGGGACGACGAGAAUUGCAGCAUGUCUUUUUGGCAGGAAGAAACGUUUUCAUUCCGUCUAAUGAGCACGUUCGUCUUUUAUAUGUUAUCGAUGAGUUUUUCCUAUGCAGGAGCGUACAUAAAUUUAUUAAAUGAUCCAAACGGUGAAAUUAACAACUGUUUGGAAGAGCGGAAAGAGGAAGGCAAUGCAUCGUCACGUAAUGCAAGCAUUAUGCAAUCUCGACCACUUAACAACAGCUGAUCACAUUUUUAGCUUGCAUAAUUUUUCACAGCUACCAUGUAUAAAGAAUAAG